rnacentral:ncRNA from 1 species
UGUGGUGGAUUCCCGCGAAUGGCUCAUUACAACAGCCACAGUUUAUUAGAACUUACAAUCAUGGAUAACUGUGGUAAUUCUAGAGCUAAUACACGCACAAAAACUUCAACUGAAUUGGUUGAAGUGCUUUUAUUAGAACAAAAACCGAACGGCGUUUGACGAAUGUUGAACGUCGAAACUGUUUGGUGAAUCUGAAUAACUAUUUCUGAUCGCAUGGUCUAGCACCGGCGACAUCACUUUCAAGUGUCUGCCUUAUCAACCUUCGAUGGUAGUCUAUGCGACUACCAUGGUGAUAACGGGUAACGGAGAAUCAGGGUUCGACUCCGGAGAGGGAGCCUGAGAAACGGCUACCACAUCCAAGGAAGGCAGCAGGCGCGCAAAUUACCCACUCCCAGCUUGGGGAGGUAGUGACGAAAAAUAACGAGACGAUUCUCGUUUGAGAAACGUUAUCGAAAUGAGUACGCUUUACACACGCUAACGAGUAGCAAUUGGAGGGCAAGUCUGGUGCCAGCAGCCGCGGUAAUUCCAGCUCCAAUAGCGUAUAUUAAAGUUGCUGCGGUUAAAACGCUCGUAGUUGAAUUGUGGUCUUAGACAACAGUCCCCCUACAAAGGUGUGGCACGGUUGCUCGAGAUCUUCAUUCGUGGUUGCUGUUGUUGCUCUUCAUUGAGUGUCAAUGGUGCCUCGAGAUUUUACUUUGAAAAAAUUAGAGUGCUCAAAGCAGGGUUGUGAUGCCUGAAUAAUGGUGCAUGGAAUAAUAGAAUACGAUCUCGGUUCUAUUUUGUUGGUUUUCGAACCGGAGAUAAUGAUUGAAAGGAACAGACGGGGGGCAUUCGUAUUGCUGCGUUAGAGGUGAAAAUUCCUUGGAAUCGCCAGCCAAGAAUGAAACAAAUUGCCGAAAAGC